rnacentral:rRNA from 1 species
AUACGGAGGGUGCGAGCGUUAAUCGGAAUUACUGGGCGUAAAGGGUGCGUAGGCGGCUUGAUAAGUCGGAUGUGAAAGCCCCGGGCUUAACCUGGGAAUUGCAUUCGAUACUGUCAGGCUAGAGUAUGUCAGAGGUUGGCGGAAUUCCUGGUGUAGCGGUGAAAUGCGUAGAUAUCAGGGGGAACACCAGUGGCGAAGGCGGCUAACUGGGGCAAUACUGACGCUGAGGCACGAAAGCGUGGGGAGCAAACAGGAUUAGAUACCCUAGUAGUCC